AAGUCGUAACAAGGUUUCCGUAGGUGAACCUGCGGAAGGAUCAUUGCAAAUUAUGGCGAAUCUUUCGCCAUUUUUUUCGUAUUUAAAACAUCCCGCUCUUGUAAAAAAUAUUUUUUAAUCGUAAAAUAAAAAAAAGAUCACUUUCAACAACGGAUCUCUUGGCUCUC
rnacentral:misc_RNA from 1 species